UUUAAUGAGAGUUUGAUCCUGGCUCAGGACGAACGCUGGCGGCGUGCCUAAUACAUGCAAGUAGAACGCUGAGGUUUGGUGUUUACACUAGACUGAUGAGUUGCGAACGGGUGAGUAACGCGUAGGUAACCUGCCUCAUAGCGGGGGAUAACUAUUGGAAACGAUAGCUAAUACCGCAUAAGAGUAAUUAACACAUGUUAGUUAUUUAAAAGGAGCAAUUGCUUCACUGUGAGAUGGACCUGCGUUGUAUUAGCUAGUUGGUGAGGAAAAGGCUCACCAAGGCGACGAUACAUAGCCGACCUGAGAGGGUGAUCGGCCACACUGGGACUGAGACACGGC
rnacentral:rRNA from 1 species